rnacentral:lncRNA from 1 species
UUUUUUGGUCGAGAUUAAUACUUAACAUUUUCUUCAUUUUUUCCAGAUGUUGAGGGUAGCUCGAGGACUUUCUCUGCAAGGGCUCGAGGAGGCCAAGAGGGCAGCUGGUGUCGAGACGUCCAUGGCCUCCAAGGACAGUAGGAUUCAAGACCUCGAGGCUCAGAUCGAGGUUUUAUUGAAGGAGCGUGAUGACGUGAGGAUGGAGGCUGCAAAGGCCAGGGAUGACCUUGUUGUAGCAAAGGAUGAGGUCGAGGGUGCGAGGCUCGAGCUUAUCCAGAAGACAGAGAAUUUUGAGCGCGAGCUCGCGGCUGUCAGGGAGAGGGCCUGGGACGAGUUUAAAACCUCCGAGGAUUGUGACAAGAUAAAAGGGGAGUACGCAUCGGGGGCGUACUUCCAUGCUCUGAAAGAAGCCCAGGCCUUCCUCCGUCAGAAGUUGCCCGACGUUACUCCGGACGACUUGAAGACAGUGCCUUCCAUUGCUGAUACAUUGGAGCUCUCGGGUUCGGAAGAUGGAGGAGGAUCGGGCGGAGAUGAUGAGGACGGUCUUGAGGACGACGUUGAGAUCAACAUCAGCAACCUCGACCCUCCUCUUGGCCACAUUGGAUGACUUCCCCACCCCGAUCUCUUGUAAUUUUUGUUUAAACUUUGAACAUGUAUUUUGAUCGAGGACUAUGUAUGUUCUAAAGUUAAUUUAUUUGAGCUAUUUAUCUCGACCCCUUAGACUUCAUAUAUUCGAGCAAACAAAUUGGAAAUUAACUGCUCAUGCGACAUUGAAGAGUUUACUCGAGGAUUCCACAACUCGAGCAUAUUUAAGGGAUUAAAAAGUGAUAAUGUGACAUUCUCGAGGACUGUAAACCUCGAGCACAACUAAUCUUAAAAAAUAAUAUGAUAAUGUGACAUUCUCGAGGACUUCUAAACCUCGAGCACAACUAACUUAAAAGUUGGGUUGUGAUAUUCUCGAGGACUUCUAAACCUCGAGCACAACUAACUUAAAAAGCUGGGUUGUGAUAUUCUCGAGGACUGUAAACCUCGAGCACAACUAACUUAAAAAG